AGCGAACGCUGGCGGCAGGCUUAACACAUGCAAGUCGAGCGCCGUAGCAAUACGGAGCGGCAGACGGGUGAGUAACACGUGGGAACGUACCUUUUGGUUCGGAACAACACAGGGAAACUUGUGCUAAUACCGGAUAAGCCCUUACGGGGAAAGAUUUAUCGCCGAAAGAUCGGCCCGCGUCUGAUUAGCUAGUUGGUGAGGUAACGGCUCACCAAGGCGACGAUCAGUAGCUGGUCUGAGAGGAUGAUCAGCCACACUGGGACUGAGACACGGCCCAGACUCCUACGGGAGGCAGCAGUGGGGAAUAUUGGACAAUGGGCGCAAGCCUGAUCCAGCCAUGCCGCGUGAGUGAUGAAGGCCCUAGGGUUGUAAAGCCCUUUUGUCCGGGAAGAUAAUGACUGUACCGGAAGAAUAAGCCCCGGCAAACUUCGUGCCAGCCGCCGCGGUAA
rnacentral:rRNA from 1 species